GACGAACGCUGGCGGCGUGCUUAACACAUGCAAGUCGAACGGAAAGGCCCUGCUUUUGUGGGGUGCUCGAGUGGCGAAGGGGUGAGUAACACUUGUGUAACCUGCCCUUGACGUUGGCAUAACUUCAGGAAACUGGGGCUAAUACCGGAUAGGAGCUCCUGCUGCAGGGUGGGGGUGGGAAAGUUUCGGCGGUUGGGGAGGGACUGGCGGCUUAUCAGCUUGUUGGAGGGGUGGUGUGAUACCAAGCCUAUGACGGGUAGCCGACCUGGGGGGGUGAGAGGCCCAGUUGGGCUGGGGCUGCGGCCCAGCCCACUCCGGGAGGCAGCGCAGGGGAGUGUUGUCCUAUGCGCGGAAGGCUAACGUAACAACGCCGCGUGGCGGAUGACGGCCAUCGGUUUGUAAACCGCUUUCGUCUGAGCCGAGACGUGAAUGACGGUACUGGGUAAAGAAGCACCGGCUAACUACGUG
rnacentral:rRNA from 1 species